rnacentral:rRNA from 1 species
ACUGCGUGUAGAUCCGUGGCUACAGGAUGGAACGUCUAGCGGGAGGCCGAACACAUGCUAGUCGAACGUCUUUGAGAGCUUGCUCUCAUGAGAGUGGCGCACGGGUGAGUAACGCGUAUGCAACCUGCACUCAACAGAGGGAUAGCUUAUAGAAAUGUGGAUUAGAAUACCUCAUAGUCCUGAGAAGUCGCAUGGCUUUUCAGGUAAAACUCCGGUGGUUACAGAUGGGCAUGCGUGACAUUAGCUAGUUGGUAAGGUAACGGCUUACCACUUAAACGAUGUCUAGGGGUUCUGAGAGGAUGAUCCCCCACACUGGUACUGAGACACGGACCAGACUCCUACGCCUGGCAGCAGUGAGGAAUAUUGGUCAAUCCGCGCAAGCCUGAACCAGCCAUCCCGCGUGCAGGAUGACGGCCUUAUGGGUUGUAAACUGCUUAGAUACAGGAAGUAAAAAUCUCCACGUGUGGGAGACUUGCCGGUACUGUAUGAAUAAGCAUCGGCUAACUCCGUUAGCCAGCAGCCGCGGUAAUACGGAGGAUGCAAGCGUUAUCCGGAUUCAUUGGGUUUAGGGGGUGCGUAGGCGGCUCUUUAAGUCAGUGGUGAAAUCCUGCCGCCCGUACUUAGAAUUGCCAUUGAUACUGAAGAGCUUGAGUACAACCAUGGUAAGCUGAAUGUGUAGUGUAGCGGUGACAUGCAUAGAUAUUACACAGAACAGGAUCGCGAAGGCAGCUUACUAAACUGUUACUGACGCUGAUGCACGAUCGCGUGACCAGCGAACAGGAUUAGAUACCCUGGUAGUCCACGCCGUAGCCGAUGAUCACUCGCUGUAUGCGAUACACUCUAUGCGGCGAAGCGAAAGCAUUAAGUGAUCCACCUGCUAAGUACGAUCGCAAGGUUGAAACUCACCGGAAUUGACGGGAUGCCGCACAAGCGGAGGAACAUGUGGUUUAAUUGCAUGAUACGCGAGGAACCAUUACCUGGGCUUAAAUGGAUCGACAGCUGCGCGACAAGGUGGGCCUUACUUCGGACGUUCUAGAAGGUGCUGCAUGGUUGUCGUCAGCUCGCCGCCGUGAGGUGUCGGGUUAAGUCCCAUAACGAGCGCAACCGAAAUCGUUAGGUGCCAGCGGAAGCCGGCCACUCUAGCGAGACUGCCACCGUAAGGUGAGAGGAAGGUGAUGACGUCAAGCAUCAGCACGGCCCUUAUGUCCAGGGCUACACACGUGUUACAAUGGCCAGUACAAAGGGCAGCUACCAGGCGACUGGAUGCUAAUCUCUAAAGCUGGUCUCAGUUCGGAUCGAAGUCUGCAACCCGACUUACGUGAAGCUGGAUUCGCUUCGCUUCGCGCAUCAGCCAUGGCGCGGUGAAUAACGUUCGAGGGCCUUGUACACACCGGUCGUCAAACAAUGGACAUCGUGGGUACCUGAAGUAUGUAACCGCACGGAGCGUCCUAGGGUAAGCCUAGUAACUGGUGUUAAGUCCGUAACAAGGUAGCUGUAGA